rnacentral:rRNA from 1 species
AUACGGAGGGUGCAAGCGUUAUCCGGAAUCACUGGGUUUAAAGGGUGCGUAGGCGGCCUGGUAAGUCAGAGGUGAAAUACACGAGCUUAACUGGUGAAUUGCCUUUGAAACUAUCAAGCUAGAAUUAUGUUGAGGUCAGCGGAAUGAGUCAUGUAGCGGUGAAAUGCAUAGAUAUGACUUAGAACACCAAUUGCGUAGGCAGCUGGCUGGGCAUUGAUUGACGCUGAGGCACGAAAGCGUGGGGAGCGAACAGGAUUAGAAACCCUAGUAGUCC